AGAGUUUGAUCAUGGCUCAGGACGAACGCUGGCGGCGUGCUUAACACAUGCAAGUCGAACGGAAAGGCCCUUCGGGGUACUCGAGUGGCGAACGGAUGAGUAACACGUGGGUGAUCUGCCCUGCACUUUGGGAUAAGCCUGGGAAACUGGGUCUAAUACCGAAUAUGACCACGCUCUUCAUGGGGUGUGGUGGAAAGCUUUUGCGGUGUGGGAUGGGCCCGCGGCCUAUCAGCUUGUUGGUGGGGUAAUGGCCUACCAAGGCGACGACGGGUAGCCGGCCUGAGAGGGUGACCGGCCACACUGGGACUGAGAUACGGCCCAGACUCCUACGGGAGGCAGCAGUGGGGAAUAUUGCACAAUGGGCGCAAGCCUGAUGCAGCGACGCCGCGUGAGGGAUGACGGCCUUCGGGUUGUAAACCUCUUUCAAUAGGGACGAAGCGCAAGUGACGGUACCUAUAGAAGAAGCACCGGCCAACUACGUGCCAGCAGCCGCGGUAAUACGUAGGGUGCGAGCGUUGUCCGGAAUUACUGGGCGUAAAGAGCUCGUAGGUGGUUUGUCGCGUUGUUCGUGAAAACUCACAGCUUAACUGUGGGCGUGCGGGCGAUACGGGCAGACUAGAGUACUGCAGGGGAGACUGGAAUUCCUGGUGUAGCGGUGGAAUGCGCAGAUAUCAGGAGGAACACCGGUGGCGAAGGCGGGUCUCUGGGCAGUAACUGACGCUGAGGAGCGAAAGCGUGGGGAGCGAACAGGAUUAGAUACCCCGGUAGUCCAA
rnacentral:rRNA from 1 species